CACUGCCGAGAAAAGCCUCUAGAUAGAAAAUAGGUGCCCGUACCGCAAACCGACACAGGUAGUCAAGAUGAGAAUUCUAAGGUGAGCGAGCGAACUCUCGUUAAGGAACUCGGCAAAAUGACCCCGUAACUUCGGGAGAAGGGGUGCUCUUUAGGGUUAACGCCCAGAAGAGCCGCAGUGAAUAGGCCCAAGCGACUGUUUAUCAAAAACACAGGUCUCUGCUAAACCGUAAGGUGAUGUAUAGGGGCUGACGCCUGCCCGGUGCUGGAAGGUUAAGAGGAGUGGUUAGCUUCUGCGAAGCUACGAAUCGAAGCCCCAGUAAACGGCGGCCGUAACUAUAACGGUCCUAAGGUAGCGAAAUUCCUUGUCGGGUAAGUUCCGACCCGCACGAAAGGCGUAACGAUUUGGGCACUGUCUCAACGAGAGACUCGGUGAAAUCAUAGUACCUGUGAAGAUGCAGG
rnacentral:rRNA from 1 species